rnacentral:rRNA from 1 species
GGCAGACGGGUGAGUAACACGUGGGUGACCUACCCUUGAGCGGGGGAUAACGUUCCGAAAGGAACGCUAAUACCGCAUGACAUCCUGCCUUUGAAGAGGCGGUGAUCAAAGCCGGGGACCGCAAGGCCUGGCACUCGAGGAGGGGCCCGCGCCCGAUUAGCUAGUUGGUGGGGUAAUGGCUCACCAAGGCUUCGAUCGGUAGCCGGCCUGAGAGGGCGGACGGCCACACUGGGACUGAGACACGGCCCAGACUCCUACGGGAGGCAGCAGUGGGGAAUUGUUCGCAAUGGGCGCAAGCCUGACGACGCAACGCCGCGUGGAGGACGAAGAUUUUCGGAUCGUAAACUCCUGUCGAACGGGACGAAUGGCUCUGCCGUGAAUAACGGCGGGGAAUGACGGUACCGUGAGAGGAAGCCCCGGCUAACUCCGUGCCAGCAGCCGCGGUAAUACGGGGGGGGCAAGCGUUGUUCGGAAUUACUGGGCGUAAAGGGCUCGUAGGCGGCCAACUAAGUCGGACGUGAAAUCCCUCGGCUC